rnacentral:snRNA from 1 species
AUUGCUUCCUGGUCUUUUUGCUAAGAUCAAGCAUAGUAUCUGUUCUUAUCAGUUUAAUAACACACACAUGCUAAGUGUUGUCUUGAAGCAAAACAUUUGAAACAGGCAACUCAUGAGAUUUAGUUUUCUCUUGAAUGUAGUGCUAAUAACAUUCAUAUUUAGGAGACAAUAU